UACGAACUGUGCAAACGUUAUUCGGAUUCACUGGGCUUAAAGGGUGCGUAGGCGGCUUGCCAAGUAGGGUGUGAAAGCCCCCGGCUUAACCGGGGAAUUGCGCCCUAAACUGGCGAGCUGGAGUGAGAUAGGGGUGUGUGGAACUUCCGGUGGAGCGGUGAAAUGUGUUGAUAAUAGAAGGAAGAUCGAAAGCGAAGGCAAUUAUCUGGGUAUAUACUGACACUGAGAAACGAAAGCUUGGGUAGCAAAUGGG
rnacentral:rRNA from 1 species